rnacentral:rRNA from 1 species
CCUACGGGGGGCUGCAGUAGGGAAUAUUAGUAAUGGGCGAAAGCCUGAACUAGCAACGCCGCGUGUGCGAAGAAGGCCUUCGGGUUGUAAAGCACUUUUUGAGAGGAUGAGGAAGGACGGUACUCUCAGAAUAAGUCUCGGCUAACUACGUGCCAGCAGCCGCGGUAACACGUAGGAGGCGAACGUUAUCCGGAUUUACUGGGCGUAAAGCGCGUGUAGGUGGUUUGGUAAGUAGGGCGUGAAAGCUCCUGGCUCAACUGGGAGAGGCCGUUCUAAACUGCCGAACUAGAGGAUGGUAGAGGGAGGUGGAAUUCCGGGUGUAGCGGUGGAAUGCGCAGAUAUCCGGAGGAACACCAGUGGCGAAAGCGGCCUCCUGGACCACUCCUGACACUCAGACGCGAAAGCUAGGGUAGCAAACGGGAUUAGAUACCCCUGUAGUC